UGCGGCGUCGCGUGAGGGGGGCGGAGGGUGCGCCUGCCAGGAGCCACCACCAGAUGAGGCGGGCGGGUUACAAAACUUCACAGGGUUUCCUGGGGACAGGUAGGACGUAUUGGUCCCGCCGAUCCAUUGUUCGCCUUCCUAGAAAUCUGACCUCGGGCCACAAUUGGAUAGAAGAAAAAGCAAUGCGUUCAGGAACUUUACUUCCCAAAGAUUGCAAAUAACCCAAGUGUUCAGCAGGAGGAGAGGCGAGAGUAUGUGAAUUACAACUAUCUCUGUUUACCAGACACUGGGAAUGCACUUUUCAUUCAGUAUCUCAUUUUGUCCUCGAAACAGACCUAGCAGAUUUGUUAUCUUACAGUUCUGGAGGUCAGAAGUCUGAAAUGAGUCUACUAGGUGAAGAUCAAGGUGUUGGCAUGGCUGCAUUUCUUCGGGACGCUCUGUGGAAGAAUGUUUACUUGCCGUUUCCAGGUUCUCAAAGUCAUUAAUGAAUGAGAUCCUUGGAUCUGCAUUUACUGCUCCAUCUGAUCCCACGACUGCACCUGAAUGGCGUUCUGUGUGUCUCUGGACGUCAAGCACAUACCAGAUGGAAGAUAUCAAGAGAAACAGCUGUUAUAUAUUUAGUAUUAUUAUAAUAUUAUAUAUUUUAUGUAUGUUAAUAUAUUUCACCCAUAAAGUAUCAUCCUUUCACUCCUAACCUUUCAACUUGCUUGUAUAACUUAAAAAUAAUGUUUACUGUUUCUUCUGGAUUAUAAUAAUUUUAUUGUUGAAAAGCUGGAAAGUAUAGGCUGGUAAGAGAAAAUAAAAAUCACCCAUAAUUCCACCAUAUACAGAUAAGUACUGUUAACCUUUUAAUCUAUUUGUCUAACCCUUUUUUCAGUGAAUAAAAAGAUAUGUAUUUUUUAAACUGGGAUUAUAAAAUACACACACUUUUGUAUCCUGCUUUCUUUACUUAACAUGAAAUCAAUAGCAGUUCCUAUGCCAUUGGAAAGUCAUAAAUAUGUUUAGUUCAUAAUGGCUGUACCAUUUCAUUUUAUUGCCAAAUCACUGCCAAGAGAGGGGAACAUUUUCAUUUUUAUAAAUCUAUAUUGUACCCCAUCACUUUUUGGAACUUUCUGAUCCGCAUUAGUAGUUUCAUACUCUAUUCUCUUGGGUUUUCUAGGAAAGGACUCAUGUCACCUGUGAGUAGCAACAGCGUAACAAUUCUGAUUACAGGCACACCUCAGAGAUAAGCGGGUGCAGUUCUAUACCACUGCAAUAAAGUGAGUCACAUGAAUUUUUUGGUUUCCCAGUGCAUAUAAAAGUUAUGUUUAUAUUGUACUGCAGUCUAUUAAGUGUGCAACAGUAUUAUGUCUAGAAGGACAAUGUACAUACCUUAUUUAAAAAGUACUUUAUUGCUAAAAAAAUGCUAACCAUCAUCUGAGCCCUCAGGGAGUUGUCAUCUUUUUGCGGUAGUAACAUCAAAGAUCACUGAUCACAGAUCACCAUAACAAAUAUAAUAAUAAUGAAAAAGUUUGAAAUAUUGUGAGAAUUACAAAAAUGUGGCAGAGACAUGAAAUGAGCAAAUGCUGUUGGAAAAAUGGCACUGAGAGAUUUGCUCAAUGCAGGGUUGCCACAAACCUUCAGUUUGUAAGUAAUGCAAUACCUGCGAGACGCAAUAAAGUACUCAGGAAGCAUUAAGAGCCUGGGCUCCAGACUCAGAUUCGGAUUUCACUCCUGGCUUUGCCUAUUCCUAGCUGUGUGAUUUUGCCUCACAAGUUACUAAACCUCUCUGAAACCCAGUUUCCUGAUGAAAAGAGCUUGUUCAUGGGACUGCUGUGAAGAAAUUGGAAAUGACUCAUAUAAAUACCUUAGUAUGGUGCCUGGCACAGAAGAAAUGCUCAACAACUGUUAGUUAAUUUUUGUUUUUGUUGUGAUUAUUAUUAGAUGCCAGUCUAGUAAAUUCUAAAAGAGAUUUUGGUAGUUUAACUUCCCCACUUCAACAGAAAUUUAAUUUUCAAUUUUCUGAAAACAGUAAAUACUUUUGAAUCACAUCCUGGUACGUAAAUGUUUUCCUGGGUGACAGAAAUCUGAAAAGGAAUGUCCUUC